rnacentral:antisense_RNA from 1 species
CCCAACAGGUCGGCUUCACCGAAAUACUCGCCAGCAUUGAGAAGGGCAAUGCGAAGUUCCUCGCCGUGCAAUCCUUUCUUGAUGACUUCGGCUUGUCCAUCGGCAACGAUGAAGAACAGCUGACGGUCUUCGCCCUCACGGAUGAGGUAGUCGCCAAGUGCCACUUCCUCGGUCACAAAGCGACGUGCCAGUCGGGUGACAACGGUUUCGUCGAUGUUGGAGAAGAGCGGAAUGCGGCGCAGACUCUUGGCGCUGAACGAAGGCACGCCUUCGAGAUAGCUGAUGCUGAUGCGCUCCGUCUUGCGCAGUUCUACUUUUGUGCGGUUCACACGAUACGUUCCGCUUUCCACUUGCACCCACGGCAGGAGCUUGAGGAGGAGUCGGGGAGUGAUGGAGCCCAUCUGAGGGGCAGUCUUGGUGGUGUUCGCCAGUUUUCUGGCUGUAGCGGUCGU